rnacentral:rRNA from 1 species
UACGGAGGAUCCGAGCGUUAUCCGGAUUUAUUGGGUUUAAAGGGUGCGUAGGCGGCCUGUUAAGUCAGGGGUGAAAGACGGUAGCUCAACUAUCGCAGUGCCCUUGAUACUGAUGGGCUUGAAUGUACUAGAGGUAGGCGGAAUGUGACAAGUAGCGGUGAAAUGCAUAGAUAUGUCAUAGAACACCAAUUGCGAAGGCAGCUUACUAUGGUAUUAUUGACGCUGAGGCACGAAAGCGUGGGGAUCAAACAGG